rnacentral:tRNA from 1 species
GCGGUCAUGGCGGAAUUGGCAGACGCGCUAGCUUCAGGCGCUAGUGGUAGAAAUACCGUGGAAGUUCGAGUCUUCUUGACCGCAUCA